rnacentral:rRNA from 1 species
ACAAUACAGGGCUACUGUCUUGUAAUUGGAAUGAUGGCGACCCAAACCCUCGCCAGAGUACCAAUUGGAGGGCAAGUCUGGUGCCAGCAGCCGCGGUAAUUCCAGCUCCAAUAGCGUAUAUUAAACUUGUUGCAGUUAAAAAGCUCGUAGUUGAACUUCGGCCUUGCGCGUCCUGCGGGUCUGCGCGCGGCCUUUGCGUUACUUUGAGAAAAUUAGAGUGUUUCAAGCAGGCUUUCGCCGUGAAUACUUGAGCAUGGAAUAACUGGGCAGGACCUUGGUUCUUCUUUGUUGGUUUUGUACCUGGGUAAUGGUUAAUAGGAACGGUUGGGGGCAUUCGUAUUUA